AGUGAACGCUGGCGGCGUGCUUAACACAUGCAAGUCGAACGAGAACGGGCUAUAGCUUGCUAUAGUUGUCAGCUAAGUGGCGCACGGGUGAGUAAUGUAUAGGUAAUAUGCCUCUUACUAAGGGAUAACAAAUGGAAACGUUUGCUAAUACCUUAUACUCCUUAUUAACAGAAGUUAAUAAGGGAAAGAUUUAUUGGUAAGAGAUUAGCCUGUAUUGUAUCAGUUAGUUGGUGGGGUAAUGGCUUACCAAGACUAUGACACAUAACUGGUUUGGGGGGAUGAUGAGUCACACUGGAACUGAGACACGGUCCAGACUCCUACGGGAGGCAGCAGUGGGGGAUAUUGCACAAUGGACGAAAGUCGGAUGCAGCAACGCCGCGUGGAGGAUGACACAUUUCGGUGCGUAAACUCCUUUUAUAUGGGAAGAUAAUGACGGUAUUAUAUGAAUAAGCACCGGCUAACUCCGUGCCAGCCGCCGCGGUAA
rnacentral:rRNA from 1 species